ACCUCUUUCUUUCAAUAGCAGAGCAAAUUGAACCUCAGUGGGCCCUUGACCAUAAGUGUUUAACUCUAGUUAUUAGCAUAAUAGUAAUAUGUAAAUAUAUGGGCAGAUUUGCAGAAGAAUUAUUAUCAUUUUGCAGAGGUAUGCAGACCAGUCACACUAUGAAGCAACCACACAAACAAGCCUGCAUAUGAACUAGCUAACGACAUGAUGACAGGAUCAAAUUCACAAAUAUCAAUACUAACAUUGAAUAUAAAUAGGCUAAAUACACCAAUCAAAAGGCAAAAAGAGUGGCAAGCUCGAUAAAGAAGUACGAU
rnacentral:lncRNA from 1 species